CAGAAAUUCAUCCCCUCUUCCUAGGAGCUGAACUUCUGCAGCUGGCAGAGACUCCCUGCAUGUUUUCUGAGAAGAGCUCAGGGACAUAAGAAUUCAUUCUGUGGAGCAUAACCAGGCUUUUAGCCUCCAUCCCACACACAGCUACACAUGCUGUAGUAGGGGAGAGGCCAAGGACGUUGUCUGGAAAGGUGUAAGGCCAACCACAGAGUCCCCGGGCCGCGUCCUGGACCCACGCUAAUCAUUCCACCCCCAAGUAAUUGUGGGAUAAUGUGUUCCCUUCUUCAUAGGCAAAGCAGGUUAUGGAAAUUAUUUUAUGAAAAGUACCUGGGAGUGUUGCCAAGCUAAUUUUUGGUUCAUUAUACCAUCUAUUAUUAAUACAUUAUCACAUAAUGAUUGUAUGGUCUGAUCUUUCCCUCAUACAUACUAUGGUGGUUUUUCCGUUUGUGUGUGUGCAGUGUAACUGGAUCUUGGUUCAUGCUGAGCUUAAAAUUUGAUCUUCUGAAUAUCAGCAGAAAGACUCUUUCUGGUGAAUACAGAUCUUCUGAGCAAUUAUCGACUGACUUUGUCAUUAGACUGCCCUUUCAGAAGGUACAAAAAAAGAAAAAGAAAAUUACUACUGUGAAGUGAAGUCUGAGCAACUGGGAAGAAAUGCAAGGUGAAAUGAAAUGGUGAAGUUGUCAGUGACAUGAAUCUUUGCUCCCUUCUUCAUGGAAUAUUUCUGAUCUAAUAGCCCCUAUAUUUCAAAAGAUGGAUAUAAACAUCAGAUGAAUAUCACAGGAAAGCUGGAUUGCUCUGCAGUGAGUGAAACGUGGAAAGGCCUUUCCCCACCAAGCAGUAGGCCAAAUUGUAACAGUAAGAUGUAUUUGAAAUAAAAUGGUUCAUAGAUCAGAGGUGAUCCUGUCUUUUUUAAAGCGUGAAAGUGUUCCUUCUGCAGAAUGAGGCUCAAAAGAGGAACAUGAAUAAUUUGAUAUUUAUUAUGUUAUGAUCUGCUUUAAUCCAUUAUAUAUAUGAAAUAGUGUGUGUGUGUGUGUAUAUAUAUAUAUGUAUAGAUGAUACAGAAAUAUGAUUCUUUAAAAGGCUACAUAUUUAAUAUGCUUUCACUCUUAGCCCAGAGCAAAGCUGGUUUCUUCCUGCAGAUAAAUCAUCCCCAGCUCUGGAGUUCUAUAUAGUUGACUUUAAAUAGUCACUUGGUCUCAGAUUUUGCUGGAUUUCCAGUGUGAUAGAUGAAAGGAUGCUGCACUUCUUACUCAACUACAUCUCCUCUUUUACAUUUCAGGCCAUACCUUUCCAUUAAUUAAUGCAUACUGUCGUCAGCUCAGUCUUCCAUCUUCUUUAAUCAUUUCAGCACCUGAUCCACAAUUUUGCUUCCCACACCACCUCUGACAACAUCCUUGUACUGGUCAAGUUUAUGAGCAUUCUGGCACCUUACCAUUUAACACAUAACACCCUGUGUUGGUAAAUAUAUUUUUAUCUCCCUGCACAUCGAAGUAUAACUUGGCAUUUCCCAUACAGAAACCAUAAUGAUGCACUGCAAAUAACUCAAGCUUCACAAAUAUUUGCUCUGACCCAAUGUGUGGCAGGGCAAUUUUAAUCCCGGAUUCACCAUCCUUACCAUUCCCACCACCUUUAAUCCUCUCUAGAGUCCAGCAUCUACCAAGGCUGUGCUAGUAGAAGAGGGCUUUUGAAAUGUAAUCAGGCUGGGAAGAAAAUGCACUUUUAUUUUAGGAAAAUUCAGGAGAAAUUGGCAGGAAGCUAAUCUCAGUGCAGCAUGUCUGCUUAUCCCUUUUUCUCUCCUGCAGAGGCCAGUUCACUAUGAGGGCUCUGCUGUCCUUGCCAGCCUUCAAGCAAUCAACGGCUCUUGUCCAGCAGUGGCUCAAACUCCUGGCCAUUCACCCCAGGGACAGAAGCCAGUGGAGGGAGCAGUCAUUGUUAUUUACUUUUCAUUGGCAGGUGGUGACCAGAUGGAUAUAAACGGGCUGUGGAAAAAGAGAAUGCAUGGCCAAAAAUGGUGGUGCUCUCUGUCCAAAAACUGAGGCCCUAUGACCAUGAAUGAAGCCAGAGGGCAGGUAGGAAUAGAUCAUUUGCUCCAGAAGAAGCUGGUUGCCAUGUCUUGAGGACAGUAAACCCUCUGGGGAGGUUCCUGUGGUAAGGAACAAGGGCUCCUGGCAAUAGCCUCUGAGUGAGCCACCUUGAAAAUGGAUUGUCCAGCCCCAGUCAAGCUUUCAGAUGACUGUAGCUCCUGCCAAUGUCUUCACCACAACCUCAUGAGAUCCCAAGCUACAACCACUCAGUUAAGUUAUGCCAAAAUUCCUGAUUCACAGAAAUUGACAUACAGGAGAGGUCACAGUUAAGAUCUUGAUGUUCUAUCUUGACCCAUAAUAUAGGAACUUCAUCUUUUGGGAAGCACCAGGGAGAGCUGCCUGUGCCUGGCAGAAGCUGCCCAUGCCCCACUGAUACCCCACAGUACUUCCUGUUCUGCUUAGUACUCCUGCUUCUUUCUACAAACAACUGUGAUUCUCUACCUGGGAGCUUCCUCUGGCCACAGGAGCCUGCUCACCUGAUUGGGACACCCUAGCAGUACUGGCUCAUAGAUGGAAGGGACUUGCCUUGUCGCUGAUGAGACUUUCGACUUGGACUUUUGAGUCAAUGCUGGAAUGAGUUAAGACUUUGGGGAACUGUUGGAAGGGUGUGAUUGUGUUUUGAAUUGUGAGGACAUGAGAUUUUGAAGAGGCUAAUGGCAGCGUCCCCACCUAAAUCUCUUCUUGAAUUGUAGUUCCCAUAAUCCCCACGUGUCGUGGGGUGGAGCCGGUGGAGAUAAUUGAAUCAUGGGAACACUUUCCCCCAUGCUGUUAUUGUGAUUGUGAAUUCUCACGAGAUCUGAUGGUUGUAUAAACGCCUUCCCUCUUCGCUGGGCACUCAUUUUUCUCCUUCCUGCCACCAUGUGAAGAAGGAUAUGCUUGCUUCUUGUGCCAUGAUUACAAGAACACACUCAGAAAUUUUCUCAACACAGUUUCUAUGCAGAGAAGAGAUGUGGGACAGAUUUGAACUGCUGUCAUAUUUGUAUGAACCCAAGACAUUUUCCAAGACCAAGAGGGAUAAAGACAGCAAUUUCUAUGACUGGCAUUUUACGUGCAUGCACUGUUUCCAAGUGUUCUUGUGUUCUGUGCCUUAAACAUUCUGUGUUGCAACUUUAUGAAUUGAAUUAAAGAUAAUCCCAAGCCCCCAAUUGUCUCAAAAAGUGAAAAAGUAAAUGUUAUAGAAAGAAAAGCGGGAAAAACUUUAAGCAUGAAAUAAAAGAUGGGUUGUGAUAAAAGAGGACUGAAGAAGGAAAAGGAAUGAAAGGUUCUGCCAUCCUUCAUGGCAGCCCACUCCACUUGGUAUGAGAUACUGCUCCCUUGGCUGAAAGUUAACUGCUGUACUCCCUCCACUUUCUAUAAAUGACUCCCUGUGCCUUUCCUUCACCACACAACUCACACUCUCUUCCUUCCUAGUGAGUCCACUAAGGCUUCACUGCAUUAUUACAUUUAUUUCAUUUAGGAAAAACUGACUUUAUUUUCCUUCAAAUUGUUUUUUAUUGUUUAUAUGAGCUUGGUUUUAUUGUCAUUCUAUUUUUCUCCAUGAAAAUAGAGAAAAAUAGGGUCGAAAGGUUAGGUUGGGUGGAAAGGAAUUAUAUUUUUUCUCACUAAAAUUGAUGUAAAUAUCGUUUUCAAUUGAAUGAUUUUACACAGUGGCACAGUUUCAGGUAUGUUGCUAAGCAGGAAAGUUGUUAACCAAAGCAUGAAUGUAUUAAGGAGAUGUAUGCAGAAUGACAUGCAAGGUUAUCUAUGAUUGCUGAGUGAGAAAGAGCAAGUUGCUGAGUAUUAUAUAAGUAUGAUCUCACUUUUGUAAAAAAAAAAAAAAAAAAAGGCCUGGACUGAUCUGAAAUGACCCUAUUAAUAACAAUUAUGUCCAGGUCUGUAUUGCAUACUUGUCAUUCAUUACAGGAUCUUGAGACACAAUGCAAAGGAUCACAUCGCAGCUCUGUAACUUGUUAACUAUAAGAUUUUGAGUAACAUAACACCUUACUCCUUAAAAUUGCUUAAAAAAAAUCUGAACAUCAGGAAUAUUCUACUUCACAGGGUCGUUGUGAUAAUUAAAUGUAGUAAUCAAUGACAAUAGUGCCAGAUACAGUAGAUAGCCUACACUUUGCAGCUACUAUUUCUAUCUAUCAUCCAUCUAUUAAUAUAUAUCAUCUAUCUUUAACUUAUCAUCUAUCUUGUUCCAGUUUUUUAAAAUGAACAUGUAUUAACUUUGUAAAAAAUUAAGGCUAUAAGAUGUGCUGAGCUUUUGGAAUAGAUUUUCCUGUACUAUAUAUGACUGCCAGUGGGAGAAUUUGAAUAAAUGUGUAAAUUUGACUAAAUCUGAAUAAAUGUUCAUUUGACGGGACCAUAGAUUUGGGGGUCUAGCACUAGCUCUGUUUCUACACUCCUGCUGCUGCCUGAUAGAGAUGCCUCUCUUGUUUUGGACUCCAAGGUAAAGUAAGCCUUUUCAUUUUGUGCAUCAUAAUUUAAAAUGACAAAUGGAAUCUAUUUUUUUCUCCAUCUAACGCAUAUAUAGCUACCAUUUAUUAAUUCUUGUUUCCUUCUUAUGUUGCUCUUUGUUGUCAUUUUUAAGGGAAGAAGAGACUGGGUCACGGGAAUGCUUUAAUGUGGAAACCCUGAAUUCGUUCCACACAUCUGCCUUCUGGGGACACAGGUAAAUGAGGCCGAGUAGUGAAGUGGGAAGUUCCUGAAAAUGUGACAGCAAGCCUCUGUCCACUGCCAGACCGAAGACAGGGAGGCGCUCAUCGGCAAAUUAAUGGAUGUUAAAGGGAAGCAAAAUAACACCAAGAUAGACUCAUGAAUUACCCAGUGGCAGCACUCUUUGGUAGAGUGCAGUCUAAUUAAGUCUUUGAUAGAGUGCAGUCUAAUUAAGUAUUCAAAGAGCACAGAGUGAACAGACCUUCCUUCCUUGAGAUAUAAGCAUGUGUAUGUCUUCUAGCAAUUGUGAGGAGGAGAUGGAUAGAAGUGAAAAGUAAAAGGAAGAAUAUGGGAGAACUAAGGGGAGGAUAUUGAGUCACUGCAGAUUUAUACAAACAGCUCUAUUUUCUGUCUUGCUAAUGAAAAAAUUUACAUAAUGAAAUUUAAUUUUGCUGGGAAUUGAAGUAAAUUAAUUUGCCACAUCAAACUUUUUUCUUCCUUGGGUUUCUUUGGUUUUAAGUCUUUACAGAUUAUGAUUAUUCUGGGUACUCCAUUACUCAGCAUUGCAUCUGAGGCCUGGGAAUCAUUUCACACCUCAACAGAUCUUUAAAUGUAGCAUCAAGCGAUUUCAUAAUUAACUUGUCUUCACUCUGUGUCUUAACACACAAAAUUCCAGCCAAAUUAAAGUGUAACAGAUGGGAAAAGUCACUUGGAAAGGAAUGCUAAUUAAGUAGUUUUCAUUUCUCUUUGGAAGCCAGGAUUAAUAUACUGAUUUCAAAUAAUUGAGGAUGUGUUUCAAAUGCUUGGUAUGUGGGUUGAGAAUUCAAGGAGCAAUCAGUGCUUCUUUUGAGCCUUUAAGGAAAAUCUCGCCAUUCAAAGUGUUUCUUUAUCAUCCUCAUGGUUUAUCAUCACCCUGCUAAGCUCUUGUUUGUGCCUUGAACUUCUCAUUGUGAGAGCAGCGGAGACUGCUGACAACCUUGUGCUUGCUAUAAUUCAAUUCAUACCAAGGGAUAAAGCAAGCAAAACAUAGCUGGUCAGGGCAAAUCUCAAUAGAGCCCAAGCCCCUCAGGGAGAGAGCCAGUCAGUAUUCUGCUGUAGUAUAAUGUCACAGCCAGGAUACUGACAUUGAUACAAUCCUUCCAUAAUACUCAGAUUUCCAUAGUUUUAGUUGAACUCAUUUGUGUGAGUUUAUUUAGCUCAAUACAAUUUUAUCAUCUAGGUAGGUUUGUGUAUCCACCACCACAGUCAAUAUACUGUGCACUUCCAACACGACGAGGGUACCUUGUGUGGACCUUUAUGACUAAACUACACACCUUCUUCCAAACCCUGGUAACCACUAAUCUGCCCUCCAUUUCUAAAAUUUUGUCAUUUCAACAAUGUUAUAUAAAUUGGGUGAUACAUUCUAUAACCCUUUGUGAUUGGCUUUUUUCACUCAAAAUAAUUCCUAGAAGAUUUAUCCAACUUGUGGCAUGUAUCAAUAGUUCAUCCCAUUUCAUUGCUGAGUACUAUUCCAAGUUGUGUGUGUAUGUGUCUAUGUAUCUAUCUCCAUCCAUCUAUCCAUCCAUCCAUCCAUCCAUCCAUCCAUCCAUCCAUCCAUCCACAUACAUAUGUACACUACAGUUUGUUUAGUCAUUUAACUAUUGAAAUACAUUGGAGGUGAUUCUUAUUUUGGGCAAUUACAAAUAAAGCAACUAUGAACAUUCUUGUAAAAGUGUUUGUGAGAACAUAAGUUUUUAUUUCUCUGGGAUAAGUACCCAAAUGUUCAAUUACUGGGUCAUCUGGUAGUUGUAGGCUUAUUUUUUUUUAAAGAACUACCAAAUUGUUUUUCAGACUGGUUUUACCAUUUCAUAUUACUACCAUCAAUAUAUGAAUGAUUUAGCUUCUUUGUGUCCUCACAGCAUUUGGUAUUGUCGCUAUAUUUUAUUUUAGACCUUCUGACAGGUAUGUAAUGAUAUCACAUUGUGAUUUAAAUGUGCAUUUCCCUAAUUGCUAAUGAUGAUGACCAUCUUUUUUGGGCUUACCAUCCCAUAUCUUCUUCAGUAACAUCUGUUCAUGUCAUUUGCCAAUUUUCUAAUUGUAUUGAUUGUUGUUGAGUUUUGAGAAUUCUUUGUGUAUUCUAGAUACUAGUCCUUUGUCAGAUAUGUAGUUUGCAAAUAUUUUCUCCUAGUGCGGCUUGACUUUUCAUCCUCUCCACAUGUUUCA
rnacentral:lncRNA from 1 species